rnacentral:rRNA from 1 species
GACGGAGGGUGCUAGCGUUGUUCGGAUUUACUGGGCGUAAAGGGCGCGUAGGCGGCCCUGUCAGUCGGGUGUGAAAGCCCGGGGCUCAACCCCGGAACGGCACCCGAGACGGCAGGGCUGGAGACCGGGAGAGGAGGGUGGAAUAGCCAGUGUAGAGGUGAAAUUCGUAGAUAUUGGCUGGAACACCGGUGGCGAAAGCGGCUCUCUGGCCCGGUUCUGACGCUGAGGUGCGAAAGCGUGGGGAGCAAACAGG